GCCCCUCCCCGGACCGCUACUUAAGUGGCUCCGGCACCGCCCCCGCUUCAGUGCGUUACUUACCUCGACUCUUAGCUUGUCGGGGACGGUAACCGGGACCCGGUGUCUGCUCCUGUCGCCUGCGCCUGCUAACCCGUAGCCACCAUGCGUGAGUGUAUCUCCAUCCACGUCGGUCAGGCUGGUGUCCAGAUCGGCAAUGCCUGCUGGGAGCUCUAUUGCCUGGAA